rnacentral:rRNA from 1 species
AUGGCUUUCGCUGGCGUGUCUCUCAUCGCCGACGGCAGGCUGUGCGCCUCCACCGAGUCCGUCUUCAACUGCGGCGCCGACAGCGGGUACCACUUGCUCGUUGUCGAAGGCUACUCCCGCACCAAAGAGACAACUCCCAACGGGAAGUGGAUCCAGUCUCGUCCUUUCAUCGUUGGAGACCGUCGCUGGAAGGUCCGCUACUACCCUAAUGGCUAUGGCGAGAAUGACCAAGAGUUUAUCUCGCUUUUCCUUUCCCAGGACGAAUAUCUCAGGAACUAUGUCCAGGCUCACGUUGUCUUCAGUUUCAUUGACCAACCUGAGUUGCGAGUGCCAAACCUCAUCUGUCAAAGCCAACCAUGUUACUUCUAUUAUGGCUGCAGUCUUAGUGAUCAGCCAGGAAGAUUUGUGACAAGGGAGGCUUUCGAAAGAUCAAGCCAUCUCAAGAAUGACAGCUUCGUACUACGGUGUGAUGUUGUUGUCCUUGACAAGAAGGAUGACGAGAGCGAUGAGGAAGAGGAGGAGGAGCAUGCUCGUCCGUUCAUUAAAUUGCCACCGUCCGACUUGCCAACCCAUUUUGGCGACCUGCUCCUAAGCAAGGAAGGUGCCGACAUUACAUUUCAAGUUGGCGGCAAAAAGUUAGCUGCACACCGCUGUGUGCUUGCAGCCAGAUCUACUGUCUUCAAGACACAACUCUAUGGUGGCGCCAUUAGUGAGGGCGCUGUUGCACUUGCACCAAGUGUUGUGAAUAUAGAUGGCAUUGAAGCAAAUGUCUUUGCUGGCUUGCUUACUUUCAUCUACACUGACGGAAUGCCUGUCUUUGAGGAUGCAAUGCCUAUUGGGUUUAUGAAUAGUGACAAAGGUGAAAAGCAUGCAACAUGGCUGCUGCAGUUGCUUGAAGCUGCAGAGAAAUAUGAUCUCAAAAAGUUGAAGUUGGUCUGUGAAGAGAAGUUUGCCAAUCUGAUAUGUGAGAAGAGGGUUGCAGACGUUAUUGUCGUGGCUGAGCGGAGACGGUGCCGCUGGUUGAAGGAGGCCUGCUUGGAGUUCAUCAAAACUCACACCAGUUUGCACAAAGCUUUUACGGCGGAUGGCCUGGAGCAGAUAAUCAGGACCUGCAGCCCCGCCGUUCUCGAAGAGCUCAUUUCCUCAUUUGCUUCC